UUUGUUAUUUUUUUAUUUUCAGGUUAAACAGGAAGAUGAGAAAAGCUGAUCUGUGUUUGAGCUCUGAAGGGGCUGAGGUGAUUUUAGCCACAUCAAGUGAUGAAAAACACCCACCUGAAAAUAUCAUAGAUGGGAAUGCAGAAACGUUUUGGACCACCACAGGAAUGUUUCCUCAAGAGUUUAUUAUUUGUUUUCACAAACAUGUAAAAAUUGAAAAGAUCAUAAUCCAGAGUUACUUAGUGCGUACCUUGAGGGUGGAAAAGAGCACAUCUAAAGAGCCUGUUGGAUUCGAGCAGUGGAUUGAAAAAGAUUUAGUACACACCGAGGGACAACUUCAAAAUGAGGAAAUUAUGCACAGACCCUUCGGCUUCCUGAUACGGACUCCCACGGGACCCUACGCUGAGCUCCAGGCCUUCGAGUGCACCCAGCGGAUCCCCAGUGUGCAGACAGAGCUUCCACUCUCUUCCACGCCUGACCCUGUGGAUGGCCACUUUUAAGAUGUUAAUCAAGCACAUAGAAGGGAGAACCUGGCCUGGGAAGUUGGGAUUGGCUUCUUGAGGGAAGUGCCACUGAGCAGAAGCCUGAGGAUGAAGAGGAUUUCAGCAGGUACAGGUGGACCCAAAGGGCCCCAGGAAGAAUGGAUAUCACGAGAAACUGAAGCCAAGAAAAGGGGAAGUGUCCUGCCUGCGGCCGGUUCUGGUCUCAGUAAUCUCCAGGUUCACAGAAAAAUGGAACAGAAAAUGUAGGGAGUUCCCACACACGCCCCACUCUCAAAUCCACAUGCCUCCCCAUCGUCAUCAUCUUGCACUUGGGUGGUGACGUGUUACAGUCAAGGAACCUCGGCAGACACAGCACAGGACCUUACAUCCAUAGGGCACGCGAGGGUUCACUCUCAGUGUUGUUCAUGAACUAAGUGGCCGUCGUGGCAGGGAUGGAGGAUAUGCGUGGACUCAGCAACACAGACUUCCACUCCCAAGG